GCCCUUGUAGCUCAGUGGUAGAGCGCGGCACUCGUAUUUCCCCUUCCCGAGGUAUGCCGAGGUCCAUCGUUCAAUCCGGUGCGGGGGCA